UUGAACGCUGGCGGCAUGCUUUACACAUGCAAGUCGAACGGUAACAGGCCUUCGGGUGCUGACGAGUGGCGAACGGGUGAGUAAUGCAUCGGAACGUACCCAGAGGUGGGGGAUAACGCAGCGAAAGCUGUGCUAAUACCGCAUGUGAUCUGAGGAUGAAAGCGGGGGACCGAGCAGCAAUGUUUGGCCUCGCGCCUUUGGAGCGGCCGAUUUCGGAUUAGCUAGUUGGUGGGGUAAAGGCCUACCACGGCGACGAUCCGUAGCUGGUCUGAGAGGACGACCAGCCACACUGGGACUGAGACACGGCCCAGACUCCUACGGGAGGCAGCAGUGGGGAAUUUUGGACAAUGGGCGCAAGCCUGAUCCAGCAAUGCCGCGUGCGGGAAGAAGGCCUUCGGGUUGUAAACCGCUUUUGGCAGGAACGAAACGGUGUCCGCUAAUACCGGGCGCUAAUGACGGUACCUGCAGAAUAAGCACCGGCUAACUACGUG
rnacentral:rRNA from 1 species